CCUUACACCAAGAAAGAAUAAGGUUGAACAUUUAGUGUGUUCUUUAUGGAUUCUCAUAUGCUAAAAUGAUGAUGUCAUUCUUAUGUUUUUUCUCUUCUUCAUGAAGCCCAUCUUACAUGAAAAUGGGAAAUCGAUUUGACGAUAGUUGACAAUUGAUUUUAAAUAUCUUUCUAAUUCAUAAGGGAUUUGACGAUAGUUGAUAAUUGCUUUUAAUGAACAAUCAUCACUUCGGAUACCAGAUUUAUCAGAGAGUUGGGGUUUCAAAUGAUUCAAUCAAACGGUUUCCUUUUCUAUGGCAAGUUUUUAAGUUGUUUUAACUUCUUUGAGCCAUGUGGUUUUAUGAACAUGGAUUCUUACUUGAUUAUAAAACUCUUAUUUUAAUUAGAUUAUUAUAUGUUGGCUGGUAUUUUGUCUGCUUCACGGUUUCUAUACCAUCAAAUUGCUCUGAGAGAACGCUUAGUUCGGAUAUUCGGAAGGUAGUUGAUAGGUUAAAACUCUGUUUCUAGAAUAACCACAAGAAAGCGUCGCCGGCGACUGGAGAUCAGAGUGAGCGGGAGAGAAGAAUAGGCAGAGGAGUGAGAGAAUGGAAGAGGGGAGCUGACCAAGAUGACGAUGGUGGAUGAACUUCGCGAAAGUGUCUAGACAUGGUGAGGUAGGACUUAGGAGGGGGGUUAUGGGCAUAAACAUGGAAGGUGGAGGCAAGAAAAAAGAUAGGGUCGUCAUCUGGCUUUAAAAGCCUUCUUUGGCUUCGCUUUUUUAAAGAAGUAAAAGAUAAUAAUUCAAGUGAUAGGUAGGCUGGUCGACCAGCUAUAAUGGAAGUUGGUGCGGUUAAGGGAACUUCAGAGGCUGUAUUUAGCACUUUCUAAUUGUCCUAGAAAAGGUAUUAACAGUUAUUACUCUAUGUUCAAAAGUAUGUUUGUGGAUAGUUCCAGCUGCGUGGCUCUAUGGUUGUUAUUCAUACGUCUCCACCAGACGUCUGCCAUCUCCACUUGCUACGUGAUUGUUCUUCGUAUGGAUCAUCUCGCUCUCCGUCAUCAAAAGGGAAAUAUUUUAGUACCUGAUUCGUCUGGUUGGGUUGACACACACUUUUCUUUUUUCUUUUUACCUUUUUUUUAAAUAGUUAAUAUGCUAAACAUGAUUACAAAACUGUUUAUUACAAUAAAUUCUAAUUUGCUGAAUAAAGUGAUUUAAGAGGGUACAUUACCAUGUUUUCUUCAUGGAGCUUAUUGUGUCUCACGAUUGACUGAAAUUCAUUUUUCUUCAAGUCAUGCCUAUUGGGUAUGUCUUAUUGCCAACUAUGGUGUACAAGUAAACAUCACAACAUGAACGGGCUGGGGCGGGUUAACGGGUCAAAAUGGUUCACAUUAAAAGUUAAACAUAGGUCAAAUAAAUUGUAUCUAGACAUUGCAAAUCAAAGUGUUUAGGUUCAGGGUUCGGAAUUGAGGGUUUGAAGCAAAAAUGUAUCAUUUUUAAGUAUCAUUAGUAUGUUUUGAUAAAUAUAACAUCACCAUAGCUUUAUAUUUCAAAAAAUAAAAUAAAAAUAAAAUACAGAUAAACAGUAAAUGCUAAACCAUUGGUUUGGUUUACGCUGUAGGAUUGGUUUUAAAAACCACACCUGAGGCCCGAGGCACUCACACGUUGAAUGCUGCUAUUAUAAGUUGAAGCAAACUGAAGGGGGGUCUCUUGUAUUUUUUUUAUUAUGCAUAUAUACUACUUGAGACUUAAGGCCUGGAAGACUUAGGUUGCUCAUAAAUUCUAAUGCAUAUGUAUGUGUAGGUACAUGGAAGAGACUGGUCAUACCCCUUAAAAACAGUCUGGCAUCACAUAAUGUGUAGUUUAUGAGUUCCAGGUAUGUUUGCAAAAUAAUUGUAUAGUGUGUAUUAGAUAAUAUGAUGUUAUUGGUUCUCCUGGUAUAUGUUUUAAGUUUAAAACUCCACAUGAAUCAUUAAUUUAUAAAUCUCUCAAUGUAUGUGUUUUGGCAAUUGACCAAAUGGACCUCAAAUGCGAAGGAUCCAUGUGGAGCCAAAAAAAUGUAUGGGAACGAGACGUACAGGACAGGAUCGAAAAAUAAAUGGGUUGAAACCCUAAAAGUUAGAUCGAAACCUGACAGAAAAAGAAUCCGGCUGGCUUAAAGGGGUAUAGGGCGGAUGCCCUUUGAUACCUAGCUACUACAAGAUCAUGGGGAAAGCUGGAAUGUUUGGUGAAAUAAUCUACCAUGUCUAAUUCUUUCAAAAACAAAUAGAGAAAGAUUGGACAUGGAACUCCAUCUUCUUCUUCCCCAUCCAUAUCCA